GAUGAACGCUGGCGGCGUGCUCAACACACGCAAGUCGAACGAAGCACUUUAACCUGAUUCUUCGGAUGAAGGGUGUUUUGACUGAGUGGCGGAGGGGGUAGUAACGCGUGGAUAUCGUGCCUCGCACAGGUGGGUCACCGUUAGAAAUGACUGUUAAGACCGCAGACAACCACAGAGCCGCAGAGCGCGGUGUGGAAAACUCCGGGGGUAUGAGAUGGAACCGCGGCGGAUUAGGUAGUUGGUGGGGUAACGGCCGACCAAGCCAACGAUCAGUAGCCGACGUGAGAGGGGGACCGGCCACCUUGGGAGUGAGACACGGCUCAAUCUCUUACGGGAGGAAGCAAUGGGGAAUAUUGUACAAUGGGGGAAACCCUGAUGCAGCGACGCCGCGUGAGUGAAGAAGUCUCUCGGUAUGCAAAGCUCUAUAAGCAGGGAAGAAAAUGACGGUACCUGACCAAGAAGCACCGGCUAAAUACGUG
rnacentral:rRNA from 1 species